CUAACCAGGCCUGGCAGGGUUAUCUGCUUCAUUUCUGCCUGACCAGAAGCAGAAGUGCAAUAAAGAUGUGCAUCCCUUCAUGGUUCUGCAAGCAUGUCUGACACAGCAGGUCACAAACAAAUAGAUGGCGACUGCGAUUGGAAAGCCUGACAAACGUGGCUGAGGAAAGUGUAAGCACAGAAAGCUGUUUCAGGGAGACAGGCGAGAUGACAAUGGAGUCCUUUCUUUCCACCAGUGAGCUAUCACUUCAAAUCUCUUCUACUGCCCACCUUCGCAUCCAGCUCCAAGAAGUCUGCGCGACUGGAUUAAGGACAAACUAAAAGGCAAAAAUUGUGGUUUUGAACAUGUGUACAUAAAGCACAAUCAACACAAUUCAGUUGCACUACUCAGGAAUAAACAGAUGCAGAAUUUAUAAACAACGGAACAGAGGAUGAUACAAUUUUUCUAAUGAAGAUUUCACCACAAUUUCUAUACAUGGUACUUGCAUGAAUGUAUGUAUUUGUGUCUAAAAAUCUGUAACAAAUGAUCUCACCGUUUCUUAAGGACUGUGUCUGGAGCGUUAAAUGUUGCUCAGGAAAGGGUCAGGUAGUUUUUAUACCAAUUUUUUAUACCUGUGUUUGCCAAGUCUAAACCCUUAUCUCCACCUACGUGCUUAGUUUAGUUUUCCUCUUAGGCGAGAACACAAGUCCUUGACUUGAUCUUUCCAACAUCUGUGACAUUCACUGAAAUUAAAAGAUCUUGUACCAACAGUGCAGUACCC